AAAACGACUCUCGGCAACGGAUAUCUCGGCUCUCGCAUCGAUGAAGAACGYAGCGAAAUGCGAUACUUGGUGUGAAUUGCAGAAUCCCGUGAACCAUCGAGUCUUUGAACGCAAGUUGCGCCCGAAGCCGUCAGGCCGAGGGCACGUCUGCCUGGGCGUCACG
rnacentral:rRNA from 1 species